UGCAAAAGCUGUGGGCACUGAAAGUUUUGCUCCACCGGCCGCGCAGCACCCACUUGGGGUCGGGCUAAAGGCUUUUCACAGCAACUGGCACUUGAUAUUUGCAAGUCUUGUGGAUGUCACUCACCGGAAACCAGACCCUGCGGUGCGAAGACUCAGGCAGGUGGCAAAGGCAAAAGCUGGACUGCAUUGUGUGGCCCCAGGGAGCUGCAGACAGAGGAACUGAAUCCUGGCCACUGUGCCUGCUGUCUCUUACAAGUUUAGAGAUGCUGGCAUUGCAUCGAAAUCGGACAACACUCCCUUCCCUCCCUUCCUAGGUACUCCAUUCCCAACCUUUUCCACCAACAGGUCCUUAUUCUCAGAAGCCAAAAAUAAUUUAUUGGUUUCCACUGUUCUCCUUGGCUGAAUCUUCAAGUACACCAACUCCCCCGUCUUCUGGACAGACUCUCCAUAAUUCAGCCAGCGUCUAAUCAGCACCUUGCUUCUCUUCCAUUCUUCCUUUCUCCAGAGUCAUGAUUCUUCCUUCUCAAGUCAAAGAGGAAUUACAAGCAAAUAGACACUAUCCUUGAAUGCAGUUUGGGUUACACAGAAUGGGGAAUGAACUCAAUCUCAUUUUUGCUUCUUUGUUGAAAUAAGCUCAGUAUCUCCCUUGCACAGAGAGUGAAUCGGCUUCACUAAGGCAAGCAGCAUUUCCUCUUUUCUCCCGGUCAGCAUCGCAGCUCUCUGCAUUCCCCUCUCGCAGAGGUGACUAUUCGUUGCGUUCUUUCCAGGAAUGUUUUCUGAGCUUCAGGAGGCCCUGAGUUACCUGGAUAAUUAGUGCUGUCCUUUUGCACAAUGCAAAAACAAAACCAUUAUGAGAUAACUUCUUUAGCUAAGUUGGGAAUGGGGUUUGGCGUGGGCAAAUAGAUCUGGCAGUC
rnacentral:lncRNA from 1 species